ensembl:ribozyme RNaseP_nuc Nuclear RNase P
AAGGUUUAAGGCUGGGGUCUCCUGAGGCUCUAACCAGUCUUUCCCUGAGUUGGGAGGUGAGUUUCCAGAGAGCAGGGCCCCACACCUAGAUGACUGGACAGGAGAGGCCCCAAGUGGACAGAUGCAUCCCUCACCAGAGCUUAGAAAAGACUCCUAGUCACUCAUUUUGCUCAGUAAAUGGCUAUCCUUCUUGCCAGGAGAA